rnacentral:rRNA from 1 species
UACGUAGGGUGCAAGCGUUGUCCGGAAUUAUUGGGCGUAAAGAGCUCGUAGGCGGUUUGUCGCGUCUGCUGUGAAAACUCGGGGCUUAACCCCGGGCCUGCAGUGGGUACGGGCAGACUAGAGUGCGGUAGGGGAGACUGGAAUUCCUGGUGUAGCGGUGAAAUGCGCAGAUAUCAGGAAGAACACCCGUGGCGAAGGCGGCUCUCUGGGACGGUACUGACGCUGAGACGCGAAAGCGUGGGGAGCGAACAGGG